UGUUUAUCUUCAGGAAGCAGUUUCUCCAAUAGUAUGCAAAUCUCAAACCUGGGUCGUGAAUGUAUUGCUCAGAAUCUUCAAGAAUAUAGGAGAUUUUUCAAUGUGACAGAAGGUUAGUUUUGAUUGUUCUUGAAUUUUUUCUGUUUUGGAGAUGGAGUCUUGCCCUGUCACCCAGGCUGGAGUGCAGUGGCAUGAUCUCAGCUCACUGCAACCUCUGCCUCCUGGAUUAAAGCGAUUCUCCUGCAUCAGCCUCCCAAGUAGCUGGGAUUACAGGCACACGCCACCAAGCCUGCCUAAUUUUUAUAUUUUUAGUAGAGACAGGGUAUCCCCAUGUUGGCUAGGCUUGUCUCGAACUCCUGACCUCAGGUGAUCCCCCCUUCCCUGGCCUCCCAAAGUGCUGGGAUUACAGACAUGAGCCACCACACCCAUCCUUGAAUUUAAUUUAAAUGCAGUUAUACAGUCACACAGCACGUGCUCAUUUGUAUCUCACUUCUUUCACUCAUCUAUUUUGAGAGCGUAUCAGUAGCUUGUUUUUUGUUGUCUUUUUAGAAAAUUGUUAAGAGUAUUCCAUUAUAUGAAUAAAUUACACUUUAAAAA